rnacentral:rRNA from 1 species
UACGGGGGGGGUAAGCGUUGUCCGGAAUUACUGGGCGUAAAGGGCUCGUAGGCGGCCAACUAAGUCAUACGUGAAAUCCCUCGGCUCAACUGAGGAACUGCCUUUGAAACUGUCUGGCUUGAGGCCGGGAGAGGGUAGCGGAAUUCCCAGUGUAGCGGUGAAAUGCGUAGAUAUUGGGAGGAACACCAGUGGCGAAGGCGGCUACCUGGACCGGUUCUGACGCUGAGGCGCGAAAGCGUGGGUAGCAAACAGG